rnacentral:misc_RNA from 1 species
GAAUAACCGCGUUAGGGAUAGAGGCGGCAUCCCCCAAUACGUAUUGGGGAUAUAGCCGAAAGCCCGGUUCGCC